rnacentral:rRNA from 1 species
GAGCACGUAGGUGGGUUUGUAAGUCAGAUGUGAAAGCCUUCUGUUCAACGGAAGAAUUGCAUCUGAAACUACAAACCUUGAGUGUAGGAGGGGAGAAUGGAACUUCUGGUGGAGCGGUGAAAUGCGUAGAUAUCAGAAGGAACGCCGGCGGCAAAAGCGAUUCUCUGGCCUAUUACUGACACUGAGUGUGCGAAAGCUAGGGGAGCAAACGGGAUUAGAUACCCCGGUAGUCCUAGCCGUAAACGAUGGGCACUAAGUAGAGGGGU